rnacentral:rRNA from 1 species
GACGAACGCUGGCGGCGUGCUUAACACAUGCAAGUCGAACGGAAAGGCCCCUUUGGGGGUACUCGAGUGGCGAACGGGUGAGUAACACGUGAGUAACCUGCCCUUGACUUCGGGAUAACUUCAGGAAACUGGGGCUAAUACCGGAUAGGAAUCCUUGCUGCAUGGUGGGGGUUGGAAAGCUUCGGCGGUUUUGGAUGGACUCGCGGCUUAUCAGCUUGUUGGUGGGGUAGUGGCUUACCAAGGCUUUGACGGGUAGCCGGCCUGAGAGGGCGACCGGCCACACUGGGACUGAGGUACGGCCCAGACUCCUACGGGAGGCAGAAGUGGGGAAUAUUGCACAAUGGGCGGCAGCCUGAUGCAGCAGCGCCGCGUGCGGGAUGGCGGCCUUCGGGUUGUAAACCGCUUUCAGCAGGGGCGAAGCUUGUGGUGACGGUACCUGCAGAAGAAGCACCGGCUAACUACGUG